CUGAGAGCCAUGGAAAGGUAGAGAGAGGUUUCCACCAUUAAUAGAAAUCUUGGAUUAUCAGUCUUUGGAAACAGCUUGCAUAAAAAGAAUGAAGGGUUGUGUGUAUCUCCAGAAGGUGCCCCCACAACAUCCUGCUGGCUCCCUUUGGUGAGUGUAAAACGGCAUGCAGCAGGGAGCUAUACAGAGAAAGUAUAGUAAAUUGAGAGGAGUAAGCAUGCCGGUAUGGAUUACAAGGGAAGCAUGCAAAAACUGUAGGACCCAUGUAAGAAUUGAGUAAAACCCAUUUUUCCCUCAACUACACAACAGAAGUUCACAUCAGGCUGGGUAGAUUUCUGCGCAGUUCCCAGCUGAGUCACCAGAGAGGGGCCCGCCUUCAUCAUGGAUCAAUUUGAUUUCAAGCCCUGACAAAUACCCAGCUUCAAGAUGGGGGACAAUCUGUAAUGUGCUUUAUGAGAACACAAGGAAAUGAUGAAAAGUUCAAGAGUGACAGCUUGAAGUUCUGUAUGCAUACAAAAAGGACAACGUGAAUAAUGUCAGCAUGCACUUCCCCUUCCCUUCAGGAGCUCCAGAAUAUUUUAGAUGUGUAAAAAGAAUGUACUACUGUGACCUGACAUUACAAGUAUUUGAGGGGCAAAACCACAGCACUUCUAUAUUGACAGAUCACAUACUCUUAAUGCUGAGAUAUAUUUAUCUAUCUAGUACUCUAAGAUGCUGAAGGGGUAGGAUGUGCUUGAGAUAAAAAUAUGUCGGUACUGUUGAAUCAUACCAAAAACUUAACUUAAAAGACCUUCCUCUGACAAAAGCAACAACAACAAAACUGAAACAUAAAAUAUGCUAGACCUUCUUAUUUAAAUAGUAUUUGAAUUGAGCCAUUCUGACUACAAAGGCUUGAAGCCUGGAUACAGCCCUGAACUAAUUUCCUGCCUUUUGCUUUUGUUUGUCAGUUAACGUCAUACAGAUCAUGUCAUAUAAAUGAAGCUGAACACUGUUUAGGUCUUAGUGUUAGCAAACAAGAAAUCAUGAUUUGAUUCUUGCAUUCUGUGCCUCUGUCCUUGAGCCAACUCUGUGUGCUUUGUGCUUGCUACAGCACUGAACGUAUAACUGAUUGUUGGUAAUACUGAAAAUGACAUGCAUAUUGAAAUGCUUGCAAGACUGAAGUUUUUAACAUAAAAUAAAUCAGUACUUUGCUUUUGGGUUUCUUUGUUUGUUUUGUUUUGUUUUUUUGGCUGAAGAGUUGAGAGCAUUUUAUCUUAGGCCAACUGGAAAGUUACCUUUCAUUUCCUUCUCCCCCCCAAUAUUGUUUGUUUAAAGUGUUUUUACUUUUUUAUACAAGUCAAAUUAAAUUUAGAGAUAAAGAGCUGUUUUAAACUGAAAAUCAGAAUAUUUCAUACUGGAAGUGCUUAAAUCAUUAGAAGACCAAAAGAGUAAUCUUCUAGAAAUUCACAAAACAAUCCUUCUGUGUAAUUUUGGAGGGUAGAAGAUAUUAUUAAGAAUAUAUAUUUUUUCUAAUAUUAGAUGUUUUAAUAUUAUAAAAUCAUGGAAUGGUUGGGUUGGAAGGGACCUCAAAGCCCACCCAUUCCCACCCUGUGCUGUGGGCAGGGCUACCACCCACCAGUUCGAGCAGCCCAGGGCCCCAUCCAACCUGGCCUUGAACCUCCAGGGAUGAGGCUCAUUCUCAGCACCUCACUGCCCACUGAGAAAAGAAUUUUUUUCAACAUCUCCCCUAGAUUUCCCCUCUUUUAGUUUAAAGCCAUUCCUCCUUGUUCUGUUGCUAUCAGACCACUUAAAAAGUUGGCCCCCCUCCUGCACAAUAUUAUCAGUAACAUGGUCAAUAACUUUUUACCCAUUUCCAGUUGUAACAUCUGCUCUAUGCUGAGAGACGUACAUUCAACCUGACCAACCUGGCUGCUUGUUCUUCAAAACCAAUGCUAGCGAGGAGUUACAGCAUUUUCUAUUUCUGCAUUUGAGCAUGGAGGAUGGAAAAAGUACCAAGCUCUGAGCUAUGCUCAAUGAAACAGAAUCCCGUCCAGAUCCUCAGUCUGAUACAAAGUCAAGAAAAGUGGCUUCAGGAAACUAGGGACUGUGAAUAUCACUGAUUUAAGAACUGGAUAAUUUAUAAAUCUAUUUAAUCUCCAGCCAACGAUUCUUUCCCUGCUAACAGCUUGCAAAGCAGAGUUAACCUUUUAGGCUAUUAUUUCAAG
ensembl:lncRNA